rnacentral:rRNA from 1 species
UACGUAGGGUGCGAGCGUUGUCCGGAAUUAUUGGGCGUAAAGAGCUCGUAGGCGGUUUGUCACGUCUGCUGUGAAAUCCCGAGGCUCAACCUCGGGCCUGCAGUGGGUACGGGCAGACUGGAGUGCGGUAGGGGAGAAUGGAAUUCCUGGUGUAGCGGUGAAAUGCGCAGAUAUCAGGAGGAACACCGGUGGCGAAGGCGGGUCUCUGGGCAACAACUGACGCUGAGGAGCGAAAGCGUGGGGAGCGAACAGG